rnacentral:lncRNA from 1 species
UGUGACUGUAAGCUGUCCCUAGAUGAGCUGACAGACCCUGGCUGAGCAGGAAGUGGCAGGGUCAGGAAAAGCUAGGCCACAAGUUUUCCCUUGAGAGCCUUAGGUAAGACACGGAGCACUUUUAAUUUAUAUAUUUAUUGUUUUCGGGGAAUUUUUUCUCUUGCUCAGAAUUACCAAUAUGAGACUGCAUCUCACCAUGUUGCUCAGGCUGUUCUCGAACUCCUGGGCUCAAGCAAUCCUCCUACCUCAGCCUCUCAAAGUGUUGGGAUUAUAGAUGUGAGCCACUGUACCCGGCCCUGGUUGCAUUCUUCAUUAUUAGGAACAUAAGAGUCUAGCCCUGUCGCCCAGGCUGGAGUGCCAUGGUUUGAACUCUACUCACCGCAACCUCCACCUCCCAGGUUCAAAUGAUUCUCCUGCCUCAGCCUCCUGAAUAUCUGGGAUUACAGGUGCCUGCCACUACACUCAGCUAAUUUUUGUAUUUUUAGUAGAGACAGGGUUUCACCAUGGUGGCCAGGCUGGUCUUGAACUCCUGACCUUGUGAUCUGCCCAUCUCGUGCUGGUAUUACAGGCGUGAGCCACUGCGCCCAGCCUAAAAUAAUUUUCAGUGAGUUAUAAGAAAACAGCUGCAUUCUGUUCUGUUUUUAGGCCUGGCCAGAGAAUACCAGGAGACUGUAAGAUGUCAUGGUACAUCAAGUCAGUCUCAAGUGUCCUAUAACCCUGGCUUGCCAUCAGCUUAGAAUGUUCUCUUUUUCUACUGACCUGCCUUCCAUCUGUGGUCUCUUCCUUCCGUCUGCUAUUUAUCAUGUACUUAUUGAUGUGUGUCCCAGAAUGUUCAGAAUCAUCUGAUUUAAAAGAUUCUGUCCCAUUUUCAGUAAAAGUAGCCCAAUAUUUUGUUGAGAAAACACAGUGACUGUGCAUAUACCUACCUACUCAUUAAGGUAUCACUUGUUGGUCACCUAGAGUAUAAAUUCAUGGCGUGGAUAUGACCUUGGUAUGAGCCUGUUCUAUACUGAUUUUGUCCCUCAUUGGGGAAAGACACUAGGAGGAUGUGUGUAUAGUGAAUAGAGGUACAGAUUGGGCACAGGCAGACUCUUUCUUGAAUCUAUUUCAUCAAUUAGUGGAUUUUUUUUCUCCUAGCCAAGUUAUUUAGCCUCUUCCUAUAUGAAAUACUCCUUCUUUUCAUCUGUUUUUGUUUUUAAAUGAGAUGACAAUUCAUGACUAGUCUUGGUCCCCUUAACACUUAGUGAGUGCUCAACAAAUGGUAGGAAUUAUUAUGGAUAACAAUAAUUAGUGUAAGUUCAAUAUGUAAAUAAAACUGCCUUUUGUUCACUAUCACAUCGCUUGUCUCAUCGGGUCUCAUCAUGAAAUAUUGGUCAUCAUUACUAUGAGAUCCAUCUAUGGUUAAUAUUACUAGUGUGACCCUAAAAUAGGAUUCAUCAACUAGGUAUGAUCAUCCGUCUAUUCUUUCCUUAAAUACAUUGAGCAAAAUCUUCAGGGGCAGCUGUAUUUUUUAACUGCACAUGCUACAGGGAUUCUGAAGUGAAACAUGGUGAAGAACCACCCAAUCAGACAUUUGAAUGGGGACUGACAGUCUUAAGUCUAAAGAAAUUUCCUCUUCCUUCAUAGUAAUUAGCAAGAAACUUCUACAAAAGUUACAAUGCCAAUUACUGGAAACGCGCAUAUCAGGAGUUCCAUGGAGGACCAUUUCCAAGCAGUAGACAUCAUGCAUCAAUCUGCUUUUUGAAAUCCAGACUGAUUUUCCAAAUCAUUUUUAAAUAAGAGGCCUCAAGCCGUAUGUAAGAAACAAGAAAAUUUGUGCCUUAAGAGCAACUAUCAACUUAAAUCAAAGAGGGGUAAGAGGUAAGCUCAGGGGAUAGAGAAGAUUAACCUAACAACAAAUAGCCUUUGCUUACUUCUGAGAUACCUAGCAAAUGCUGCCUUUUUGAAUUUUGUGCAAUUAGUUUAGUACUUCAAUUACCUAGAUAUUUUUAAGUUAAACAAGCUCUUGAGUGAUUUUUUCAUCAAUUUACAUUGAGUUAUAACAAAUGUAGGAAUAUUUGUAUUUAAAAUGCACAAGAAAAUGCAAAACAUAUCUCUAAUUUGACCACUAAAAGGCCAGUUUCUGAUGAUAACUUUUUGCCAUAUCUUAUUAACUGUAAUGUAUCUUUAAGGAUGACACAUGGAAUAGUUCCAAUGUAUAACAGAAAGGAAAUCUGAUAUUAUACUUAAGUGCAUUCUGUACUCUGUGGGGAAAGAUGCAGAAUAUAUUACAAAGAACAAUGAAGACAUGUUUCAAAAGUAAGCAUUAAUUUAUUCAUUCAUUCAUUUAUUCCCUCACACUCUUAUUCAACAAACAUUUAUUGAAAAUCCUCCCAUGCGCAAGGUGGGUGUUCUAUCUAAAUUCUAUGAAGAACAAGACAGACAAGGUCCGUCUUCUCACAGAGCUUACAUUUUAGUGAGGUAAAGUUGUCAAUAAGUAUGCAAAUUAAAAAAAUGACAGGCUCAACUAAUGCCUCCAAAAGCAACUAUUUUUAAAGCAAAAUCUGAUUGUGUUCAAGUCUAGCAAAGAGUCACAAAAAUAUAUUUUUAGAAAUGAAGAUUGUUGACAUGGUAAGGUUAUUCAUUCUUUCUAUUUUUAUAAAUAAAUCAAUUAACCCUAUUUUAUUUUAAAAAGUCAUGCAAGGUCAAAAACGUUGGGAUGAUUGGUAUUAAACUCUGGUGGAAGAAGCUCCCUGAAUGCCUCCCUGACAUCAGUCAUACAGGUCAGGAAGCAAACACCUUUCCUCUUGUUUCCUAACUGCCCUUUUUACCCAUUUCAUAGCACACACUUACUCCGGUCACCAAACUGGUUACCAUCCUCCUGUGUUCUGUUUUUGUAAGAGGGCAUUUAUUUGGCCCUAGUUACCCAAGAAAAGGCAAUUAGUCUUGACAACUGCUGCAAAGAGAAAAGACGAGAUGAUGGAAACAUUCAACACUUAAAAAUCCUUAGAUUUCAAGCAUUGGGGUUUCUGCCCCUAUAGAUUUCUGGGAGUUUGGGACAAUUAAAAUAUAUCUUUUAUUUUUUUAAAAAAAUAUAUAUAAAUGAAUGCUAAAACAACUCUUAAAAGGAAAUUGCUUUAUAUAGUCUGGCUAUGAUCAGCAAAACUGGUAUUCAUAUUUACAUUUGUUUAUUAUAUCAGUGAGGUUUGAGAAUCAUUUAAAAGAAUUGUGUUCUAAUUCAACCUAAAUUCCCUUCCUGUUAAUCUGAGCCAAAUGUCCCAAACACAGACAUGGCAGUUUUUAAAUCUCUGAAAACUAUUUAAAAACUAAUAUUAAAAAUAUAGUUUUAAAAUAUAUUGCAUAUACCUGUAUACUUAGGUAUGAAGAAAUUUCCUCUUCCUUCAUGGUAAUUAGCAAGAAACUUCUAUAAAAGUUACAAUGCCAAUUAUUAGAAACAUGCAUAUCAGGUGUCCCACGUAGGACUAUUUCCAAGCAGUAGAGAUUAUGCAUCAAUCUGCUUUUUGAAAUCCAGACUGAUUUUCCAAAACACUUUUAAAUAAGAGGCCUCAAGCCAUAUAUAAGAAACAAGAAAAGUUGUGUAUAUUUGUAUACAGGUAUAUACGAGUGCCCGUAUAUGCAAGCUGAGGUGGAGAAAUUGAAGACACAGAUUAUGUAAGCCAUUAACUCUUUAGGGGAGCAAGCUCUGAUGUUCCCACUUGAAGACGGGAGAGGGGAGUCCUCUCAUGCUUGCGUCUCACUGUAACUUUUAUGCUUUUGUCUGUGGGUGUGUUUGUUCAGUGCUUAGACUGAACAACAGUGACCUCUUUGAAACAAGAGGAUAUACAGUUCACGUGCCACAUAAUGACUUUCAGUCAAUGACAGACUGCAUAUAUAAAAAGCACAUUCUAAUAGGACCUUUGAUAAUCGUUUUGUCUUCUUGACUAUCAUCUUCUCUAGGAGAAAGUCUUCCCUGAUACUCUGCCCCCUGCCUCCACACAUACACAUACACAAACACUCAGAUAUAUCUCUACCACACAUACUCCUGGCUAGGCUAAGUGCACCCUUUUCUUUUUCUUUUUCUUUUUCUUUUUCUUUUUCUGAGACAAGGCCUUGCUCUGUUGCCUAGUCUGGAGUGAAGUGGCCUGAUCAUAGCUUACUGCAGCCUCCAACUUCUGGGCUCAGGCGAUCCUCCCACCUCAAUUUCCCAAGUAAUUGGGACUACAGGCAUGCACAAACAUGGCUGGCUAAUUAUUUUUAUUAUUAUUAUAAGUAGAGAUGGGGUCUCACUAUGGUGCCCAGGUCGAUCUCAAAGUCCUGGGCUCAAGCAACCCUCAUGCCUUGGCCUCUCAAAGUGCUAGGAUUACAGGCAUGAGCUAUCAUGUCCAGCCUAGCUACCCCUUUUCUAUACUUUCCUAGCAUCAUGUGUGGGUCUUUCUCAUACUAUCUACAGCACACUGUGAUUGUGUAUUUACCCAUAUUUCUCCCAAAUGACUAUAAACACCUCAAGGGAAAGGAUUAUAGCUUAUUCAUAUUUGAAUCCUUAGUAUUUAUGACAAUGCUUGGCUCAUAAUAAGCUCUCAAGAGAUAUUCAUUCCAUUGAAUUGAAAUGACUUCCACUUGGGUUUCACAGUAGAAUACUCAUUACUCAUCAGACUUACUCAGGGGACAAGUCUCUGGCCUCAUUUUCAUUUGCAUCUUGGCCAUGAUUUUGCCUACUGUCAAUCACCAUGAAGUACAGAAAAGCAAACUGAGCUAUGGUGAGCCAAAUUAACUGGACCUAAGAUGACCUCAUCAGCAAAGCGCCCUAAGCAAUCAAGCAAUCGGGUCAGCUAGUUGCAGCCUAUAGUUAUCGUGGAAAACUGGUUGCUACUUUGAUCUCAGCUCACCUUGCCAAAUACUCCUUUUGUUUGAAAGAUAGUCAUAACAAGUACAAAACAACACUGAGUGAAUAUUUUUAAUAUUAUAAGCACCUAGAUAAAUUUAAUUUCUAUUUCCAUUAAUGAUCUGAAUAACCUAAAUUCUUCUAAUACCUAUAUUUGUCCAAUUUUAAGGUAUUCUGACUUAGGCAGAAAUUGGGCAAUUAUCUGAUUAAUUCAGGCCAAUAUUUUUAACACUGGAUUUCUGCAUCACAAGAAUUGUUAAUUUAUUCUUAUAUCCUCAUUCCUGGUACACAAUGGGUGCUCAGAAGUAGCUAGGAUUUACUGAGAGCUUACUAUAUGCUAAACUGUACAACAAUGUGUUAUCUUACAUUAAGUCUCACAAAAAUUAAAACUCUCAAAAAACUUCGCACUAAUUGUUUGAGAUAGAUGAGAUUACAAUCUGAGUCUUAAGAAGGUUAAGUAACCCACCCAAGGUCGAAUUAAGAACUUGAGCUAUCUUUUUAAUCACUACUCUAUAUAGACAUUUGUUGAAUAAAUGGUCAGAUGCAUUUUGAUCAAGCCUAUGCUUAUUUGAAAUAUCACAUGCUUUUUUGAACUUUAUAGAUAUAUAUUAACCAUUUGGAAAAAUGUAAGAACAAAAUCUCAUGGAAAAUGUAAAUUUCAAUCUUGCAAACUAAACAUUCGAUUUAUACACUUUCAGGAUUUACUCUGUUGUGUGAAUAUGCGUACUUUAGAAUAAAACUGGUAUCAUACUAUACAAUGAAUAUCAAGUUUUAAUUCAAUAAUGUUUAAUGAAUAAUUCCCUAUGUCAUUAAUAAUCCUCUUAUGAGUAUUAUUUUAAAAGAUACAUUAUUUUACUUCAAGAAAAUUUUAUGAUUUGUAUAAUAGAACUAUAGCUUUUGGACAUUUUGGCUACUUAUAACUUUUAGUGCUUUGAUAAUAUCAUUACAAACAUCAUUACACAUAUAUUUUAUAAUUUUUAAGAAACAAAUAUGUUCUUAAAUUUGUUUUUUAAGGAAAAUUAUUAUUGGUUGAAUGAUUACAUCAAAGGGAAAUGGAUUAUUUUCAUAUGUAAUUUCAUGCUACCUCCAACAAAGGUUUUAUCCUGAUUAUAUUGUAGACCUGAAUUCAUUUAAAUUUAUGCUGAUUUUUUUAACUUUAGAGACAUAUUGCUCAUAUUCAAGUACAUUUUAAUUCAUGUUAUAAGUAUAUGACAACAUAAACAUGUUUUGACAUCCUCUACUGAAUAUAUUCUUUUUACACCACUAAGCAUUUUUAAAAUUUAGUUUUUUAUAAAAAGGACAGAUAGGCAGGCAGGCAGAGAGAGACAGAGACAGAGAUGACAAGCAUAAACAAGGAAUUGUAGCUGUGGUCUAACAGAUUACACAUUUUUAAGCACCUAAAUUUAGAAAAUUAGGUGGUAUACUUUAUUAUUGAUCAUUUGGGGUCAAACUAGCUAAUCUGGCAACUUAAUUUUCCUAGGGAUUUAUUUGAUGUAAAAAUAUGGUCUGAUCGUUCUUCAGUGGUUCUUUCCUUUUAGGAGUCUUGCUCAUGAGAACCUGUCUUAAAACUUUUACUGCUUGAAAUAUGUAGAAAGUCCAAGGGUAAAGGAGAGUGGAAUUUGUUGUUGUUUACUAUGAAGAAUUAUCAUUGAGUCAGUUCACCUUUGGCUGGCAUCUGGGGAAAGUUUGCCUGCACGACAUGAUUAACAGCUAAAAUAUUCUUACGGCCUUUAUCUCAGCAGUCUAGAAGGUUCGAAUGAAAAGAACAUUAUCCAUAGAGGAAGUAGGAGGUAAACAUUCCUAACAAAAAUGGACACUCAAUAAAUACAUGUUAAAUAAAAGAAUAAACAAAUACGUUCAAGUCGAUUCUAGUUGUGCAGUGGUAACCCUUGUCGUAUUGGAACAGUAAUGCACAUGGACCAUGAGUCCUUGUAUUCUUCUUGAGCCAGCUUGGUGAACUUGGUCAAACCACUGACACUCAAUUGCUUCACUGGUAAAACAAAGCCAAUAGCAUCCGCUAUACUUAUCCAUUAGAUUUUUUAUCCAUUAGAUUUUUUAAUAUAUAUGAAUACAAUUUAUGAAAGUACUGUAUACUAUGUACUUAGUAUAUACUUAAUUAGUAUGAAAAUAAAGUAAAAAUACCAUAGAAAAUUAGAGGUUUAUGAAUUGCUAAUACAUGAGAUAUUUACUAGGGUGUAUAUUUACUAUGUCUUCUAAAAGUAUAAGUUUGGUAAGCAGAAAUCUCUUAGGGUUUAGCAUUUCUUUAACUGAUAGCAAAAAUUUUGAAUGUUAACUAUUUAAGUGUAUCUACAGUGACUUUCCUUUUCUUCAUGAUAUUGCCUUGUUUAUCCCUUUGAUUUAUCCUCAUGUCCCACUGAAGCAAGCUAUGCACCUUAAUGCCAUCUUGUUUAUGGGGACUAAUAAAAGAAAAUUGUCUGCAAUGGGAGAUCUGCUUUAUUUACAUGCAAAUUAAAACUAUAUUCCUUCGGUUACAGGCCAAAGAUUAUUAAUGCAUGAUGUGUAACAAUUUCAGGCAAAGCCUAGGAAGAGAGAGAAUGCCGAAAGACUUCUAAUGUAUGGAGUUUAAACAUCAGAUGGUGAUUGAUUGCUAUUAAUUUAUGUCAGCAAAGGAGGAGAAGAAAUACGUAAAACUGCCUCUGAAGAAUUUACAUUAAACACCAAAAGAAUCUGACUCUGAAAAUGAAGAAACAAGGAAUAUUGUUUGUUUUGGGAAUCAAAAAAAAAAAAAACUUCCCAUUUGAGUACACAAUUUCCUAAACAAGAUACAUGAUAAUUCCAUACACUAUGCUUUCCGAAGAAACUUUGUAAAACGUAUUUUCAUUAUUCAAAACUUGAAAACACAGAAACAAUAUGAUGCAAAAAAUUAUCUUUAGCAUUAUUCCACUAAGAUAAUUCAUUUUAACAUCCAUAUAUUCAUUAUUAUGUAAAAUACCUAUCAGUAUGUGGGUAUAUCUUUGUGUGUAUAUUUUAACAAAACAAAAUUCAAUAAAAAUUGAAAUACAGAAAUGACAAAAACACACAAAAAAUAUAAAUUAUUUCCAUUGUAGCAUAUAUUACCUUUUUCACCUAACAUUAUACUGUAGGAAUAUAUUCUUUCAUCAUUCAAUGCUUUUGAAAAUAUAAUAAUAUUCCAUUUUAAGGACAUGCUAUAAUUUAGUUCAUUAGUUUUUAAACUUUUAGAUUAUCUCAUUUUGUCAUCAUUUAAAAAAAGUGUUCCUGGAUGUCCUUUUGCAUAGACUUUUGAAUGUAUUUCUGACUAUUUUCUUAACCUGUCCUGUACUUCUGCAAGUAGAACUGCUUGAGCAGAGAUUAGGAGCAAUUUUAAGGUUUUUCAAAAAUCUUGACAAACUAUUCUGCAGGAAAAAUGUAUCUUGUUACCAUCAGCAUUUUUAAGUAACUAGUGACUAAUUGUAAAAAUAAUUGUGUUUCCUUGUAUUUAAGCCUUGCGCUAUAGAUUUUAAAAAUUUGUCCUUUUUUUUUUUUCAUUUGUAAAAAAAAGCCAUCUAAAAGACCUUAGAACCUGGUAUCAGCUGAAGCUUACUAAACCAUAUCAAGAAGAUCAUGUCAUUCUCAAGAAAAGCAUGUUUCAAAUAAAAAGGAAAUGUCAGCCCUGAGCGUUUUUAUUAACCAUCUCCCCAUCUGACUUCAGAGACAGCUUUAGCUGACCACUUCCUCUCUCGGGUUUAUUUGUAUUAGAAAUAAGUGGAUUCAUUAACUGUGCCACUUGGUGGUCAGGCCAGGCCUGCCAGUGUCCAAUAACAGGUAAUGGUUGUAUUUUUCACGGGGUGACUGAUGUUUACUUUGUUGAUGGCCCCAGGAGCUCAUGUAAUCUGAGAUAGGUCUUUGUUUACUUCUUGUUUUACUGAUAUGCUGACCCAUUUGAAACUAGCGAGAAAGAAAAAUAAACAUUCUGGAAUAUGGUACCUGAAGUCACUCUUCCUUAGUGGCUUUAUUGUAACCUCUUCAAAGGCUUUUGUUAACCCACUCUUUUCCCAGCAAAAAACCCUGAUCUGGUCUCUUUUCCAAUUAAACCAAAAGCAAUAUCACACCAAAUAAGCAAACAGAAAAUAUUGAAAUUACCACUUAAAGAGAGUUUUAUCUGGGGUUUAAUUGUGUGUGUACUCAAGCGUUUAGUGUAGGUCAUUUGCUAAUGACAUCUAGUAAUUUUUAAAAACUGGAUAAAACUGAUACUGAGCCUGUCUACAGCAAUUUAACUAUUUUGGGGGAGUAUAAAGUUAGAUUUGUCUAUACUGACUUGUUUGCUCCAUUUUAAAAACUGUGUUGGAAUGAUUUAUUAUGGAUGAUCCAAAAUAAACGUGAAGUGAGGAAACUAUUUUUUAAUUACCACUGGUAGCAUAUUUAAUGGAAUUGUGUUAUUGUGCCAGAAACCUUAUUGAGCUAUAUUUGUUCUAUUAUCUUACUCAUCAGCACAGCAAAAGUUCAUAUUUCAAGGGUGAAGGAAGUGAGGCAUAGAGAGGUUAAAUAAUUCCCCAAAGGCAGAGGGCCGCCAAUUGGUGAAUGUCAGACAUAAUCCCACGCCUGCCUGAGGCCGGAGUCCAUAUUCUUAACAGACAUCCUCUUUUGUCUCCUUAUUUCAUGAUGCCAAAUAUGCAUGACGCUGAUAUAAAGCGUAUAUAUUGGAAUCUGUAUAUUCAAAUGAGCGAUGUCCAUUCAGUCAAACUGGAAGUAUGCCAAUUACCUUCCUAUAUUCAACACUUAGCUCAGAGAUGAUGAGGCACUUCACAGUUGUUUAAUUGCACUGAGCACCCACCCCACAAGCCCAUUUUACUUCUGUUCAAACCAGGUUUGCUAUUCUAAUUUUGGAAUUAUGUUCAUUUGCAAUCUGAGUCACAAGAGUAAAUAAACUUUAUCAGUAUAUCUUUAAAAUUAUGUAUACAUUUAUAAUGUAUUUAUGUAUAGAAAUAUAUAAACACAUUUAUAUAAACACACACAUAUCUCUAUAAAUCCACAUAUUUACACUUGACUACUAAAAAUUAGUUACAAUAUUUGUCUCUUCUAUGUGUUUUCAAAAGUUAUAUUUAAUCCCAAAGAAUUACCAUGAUGAUGUAUGACAGAUUCAAAAAGGAGAUUCAACAGAAUUUGAGGAAUUGUAACACAGUUAGAAAAACAUAGCCCCAAAGCAAACACUUUUAGGGAAUAUUCUUUAUAUUAAGUAUGAGUAUUAAAAAAUUUGAUUAGAAGUGUUUAUAUAUUACUUUAUACUUGUGUAUAUUACAUCCACACCCUGUAUACAUAAUAUAGUUAAUAUAUAUGUGUAUACAUCAUGUAUAUAGGCUGUGAAAGUAAUAUUAAUAUAUGAAUAAGUACAUAUGUACAUUUAAAAAUUGUAUGUACUCAAAAUGCAUAUUUUUUCAGAAGACUGACAAUUACAUUCUAGCACAAAACUUAUUCAAAACCUCUAGUCCAUAAGACAUGAGAAUCAGCAGGUUCCACUUGUGCCCCGUGGGUCUGUAGCCGAUUCAGGGUGGCAACUGCCACAUCUUCCCCUCCUGAUUUAUUUGCUUUCGGUCAGUUUGGCAGCUGCCCCCACAACAGCCUGAGAACGCAAUCUAUACUUCACAGAAAGGCAUUUGGAAUAGAAGAGGGUUUCUGAGGGCAUUUAAAAAAAUAAAUGAAAUAAAGAUGUUGCUAAAAGCUAUCCUCUCAGAUUCACAAGGCUGACAGGAAAACAAAGUUUCAACUUGCAAACAGCAUGAACUGGCCAAGUGGUUUGCUCUGUCAUGGACAGCAGCAAGGCUGGCAUGCAGUCUUGCUGUGCUCACACUAUUGGCCCUGUGAAAACUCAGGCCAGAUCUCCUGUCCAGACAAGAGCCUGGGUUAUUGGGAGAAAAAUCCAUUUUAACUAUUACAUUCAUUUUCAUUUUUCCAGGAAUACAAUCCAAAAUCGCAGGGAGCACUUGGAAACAAUUCUUGGCAACUGUAUUCAGUUGAAGAAACUCAGAAUAUGAAAGCAUUAACAUAGAGUGCAACCAAAACACAAAUAAGAAUCACCCAAGCUGGGCUACAAGAAUAGCUACUGUUUACUCUGAGUGGAUAUUUAUGAAGAGCCGUAGUAAGAAAGAUCUUUUUGAUGAUAACAGAGCGGUGUAUGGCAUGAUAUUAAUUCUGCCUCAUUAGUGAAAUGAAAAACUCUGAGAUAGGUGUGACAAAGAAAAUUAUCACUGUUUCUCAUUCAGUGUUAAUUUCGCUUCUUGAAUUAAAUUCUGCUCAUUCUCUUCGGUGCAUUUAAAAUUAUUCCUUUCUUUUGAUACAUAUAUAUAUCUAUAUCCUAUGGAAUACUACUCAGGCAUAAAAAUGAAUGAAAUCAUGUGUUUUGCAGCAGCAUGGAUGAAUCUGGAGGCCAUCAUCCUAAGUGAAAUAACUCAGAAACAUGUUCUCACUUAUAUCACAAAUAUCUCACUCACAAAUAUCACAUGUUCUCACUUAUAAGUGGGAGCUAAACAGUUAAUACACAUGGACAUAGAGAGUGGAAUAAUAGGCAUUGGAGAACUCCAAAAGAAGGAAAAGUGGGAGCAGGGGUGAGAAAUGAGAAAUUACUUCAUGGGUACAGUAUACAUAUUCAAGUGAUGGGUACACUAAAAGUGCAGAAUUCACCACAAUGCAAUAUAUCCAUGUAACAAAACUGCACUUGUACCCCCCAAAUCUAUACACAUGAAAAAAAAUUGUUCCUUUCCAAUAUCAGCAUGUAUUAGAAUCAGGAAUGGUUUAUACAUUAAACACUAUAAGCACAGCCCUUAUGGAAUGUGAGCCUUUUGAAGAUACAUUAUUUGGAUAGAGCUUGAAUUUUUUUUUUUAAAAAAGAACAAUAAUAGUAACAUGCAUUGAGUGUUUACUUUGUACCAGGUAUGCUAUGAGGGUUUUACAUCCAUUAACUCUCUUGAUCCCCACACCACCCUUUGGGCAAGGUACUUAAAUUAUCAUCAUAUGCAAAACUUGACAUGUAGAGAGAAUAAGGAACUCGCUCAAGGUUAGACUGAUAAUAAGUGACGGAGCUGAUCUUCUAACCCCUGGAGUUGACUUUGCCACCACACUGCCUUCUCACACAUGUUCAGAACUCUCAAUCUUUUCUCAACAGAAGAACCCCAAAGUCUGUUUUGUGUCUUUUUCUAUUCAAACACCCAGACAGAGGGAAGAGCAAAGGUCCUAUGGCCCAGGGAAGUCUGGCUUGAUGGAGAAAAUGAAAGCUGAUAGAUGUGGAUGAAAAAACAAACUGCGGUCAAACUAACAUGAAAAAAGGGCCAACUAGGUAGGACCUUACCGGGUAGGUCCAGAUUUUGAUCUUUAACCUUGGAACAAUGAGAAGCCCAUGAGGCAUUUAGCCAAUUAACGGUUUAUAAAGUUCACUUUGGAAGCAAUUAGAAAAUCAGCAUGAAAUGGAGGGGGCUGAGUGGAUAUCAGGAGAAGGCUGAGGCUAACUCAGCAGCCCAGGAAGAGAAGCAAGGUCUUAGAUUAAGGGACUGGUGAUGUGAGAGUGUUCAGUGAAGCUCAGGCAGCCUCCGCUUCUU